UCUGGCCUUUGAUUCUCCUGAAAAACCAAACAACCAACAAAAGCCAAAUCAAAAUAACGAUGGUCUCCAAUGUUAUGCUCAUUGACUGGAAAAUUUUGCCAACAGAUGCGUGUAGAGAUAGAUUGUGUUGAAUCAUAUUAUUUUUUGAUGAAGUUUCCCACCCAUUGCAGUUUCUAUUUAGAGUAAGGGACUCAUUUUCUAUCUAUGUUGAAGGAUCCUGGGGAUCUGCAUAUCCAGAAGUGAAGAUUGUCAACAAAUUCAUAAUCCUCCUAUCUCAGAUUCCUGACUAGUGUUCACUACAGGUUUGCACUGAUAAUCUCAGAUAGGGAAACACAGUGUAUGAAACUCUUGCAGACCUUGGUCAUUGAGAACACAAGGAUGCUAGAGGAGGAGGCAUAUGUAGGAGAAGAGAAAGAGUACUUCCUUGCUGAGGCCAUUAAGCAGCUGAGUCACCAGCCUUGAAACUAUGGAACUCCCUCCAUUCUUCAGUGCAGUUAUCCUUCAUAUGCAUCCUUAUAGAGAAGUGCUUGGAAGAGGGAGAUCAAGGUCGAAUGACACUUUCUCAAUGGAAAGCCUAUUCCAAAGAAAGAAGCCCUUCAUAAAAUAAUAAAG